rnacentral:rRNA from 1 species
GUCUAAUGGAGGUAAAGCACUGAUUGGACGCGGGUCCCCAAAAGGAUACCAACUUCUAUCAAACUCAGAAUGCCAUAUAGAUAUACUCAGGAGUCAGACUAUGUGAGAUAAGUUUCAUAGUCAAAAGGGAAAGAGCCCAGACCGACAGCUAAGGUCCCAAAGUGUGUGUUAAGUGGAAAAGGAUGUUAGGUUUCUAAGACAACUAGGAUGUUGGCUCAGAAGCAGCCACUCAUUUAAAGAGUGCGUAACAGCUCACUAGUCGAGAGGUCUAGCGCCGAAAAUGUCCGGGGCUAAAACACACCACCGAAGCUACGGAAUUACCUAUGGUAAUUGGUAGAGGAGCAUUCUGUAAGGAUGAAGCACAAUUGAAAGAGAGUGUGGACGAAACAGAAGAGAGAAUGCCGGAAUGAGUAGCGAGAUAUAUGUGAGAAUCAUAUAGGUCGAAUGUCUAAGGUUUCCUGGGUAAAGCUGAUCUGCUCAGGGUAAGUCGGGACCUAAGGUGAGGGCGAGAGCCGUAAUCGAUGGACAACAGGUAGAAAUUCCUGUACUACGUAUAAUCAGAACUGUGGGGACGCAGGAGGAUAGGAAAACCGGAGAAUGGAAAAAUCCGGCUAAGUACAAAGGUGUGAGCAAUAGGCAAAUCCGUUGCUAUAAGCUGAAGUACGAAUGGGAGCGAAGAAAAGUAGCGAAGUUUCUGAAUCCACACUGUCAAGAAAAGCCGCUAUUGCGUUAUACGUACCCGUACCGCAAACCGACACAGGUAGACGAGGAGAAAAUCCACAGACCGACGGGAGAAGUGUUGUUAAGGAACUCGGCAAAAUGACCCCGUAACUUAGGGAUAAGGGGAGCCAACGCAAGUUGGUCACAGAAAAGAGGCUCAAGCGACUGUUUAGCAAAAACAUAGGUCUAUGCGAAACCGUAAGGUGAUGUAUAUGGGCUGACACCUGCCCGGUGCUGGAAGGUCAAAAGGAGAGGUUAGCGUAAGCGAAGCCUUGAAUUCAAGCCCCAGUAAACGGCGGCCGUAACUAUAACGGUCCUAAGGUAGCGAAAUUCCUUGUCAGGUAAGUUCUGACCCGCACGAAAGGUGUAACGAUUUGAGCACUGUCUCGACAACACGCCCGGUGAAAUUGAAGAACCAGUGAAGAUACUGGUUACCCGCAACAGGACGGAAAGACCCCAUGGAGCUUUACUGCAGUUUAAUAUUGGGAUUCGGUAUUGUAUGUACAGGAUAGGAGGGAGACUAAGAAGCUAGCACGCCAGUGUUGGUGGAGUCGAUGGUGGGAUACCUCUCUUAUAAUACUGAAUUUCUAACCUACUUCCGUAAUCCGGAAGAGGGACAUUGUUAGGCGGGCAGUUUGACUGGGGCGGUCGCCUCCGAAAGAGUAACGGAGGCGCUCAAAGGUCUUCUCAGAAUGAUUGGAAACCAUUCAAAGAGUGUAAAGGCAAAAGAAGGCUUGACUGCGAGAGUGACAACUCGAGCAGGUACGAAAGUAGGACUUAGUGAUCC